UACGGGGGGGGCAAGCGUUGUUCGGAAUUACUGGGCGUAAAGGGCUCGUAGGUGGCCAACUAAGUCGGACGUGAAAUCCCUCAGCUUAACUGGGGAACUGCGUCCGAUACUGGAUGGCUUGAGUUUGGGAGAGGGAUGCGGAAUUCCAGGUGUAGCGGUGAAAUGCGUAGAGAUCCGGAGGAACACCGACGGCGCAGGCAGCGUCCUGGCCGCUUGCUGACACUGAGGCACGAAAGCUGGGGGAGCAAACAGG
rnacentral:rRNA from 1 species